rnacentral:sRNA from 1 species
UCACCUCCAAGAAGCAAUUGUGUUUUCAGAAUGAUUUUAUUCAAGCAAGCAACUUAUUUCAUUUCCUUGUUUGCUACAGUUUCCUGUGGAUGUCUGACUCAACUUUAUGAAAACACCUUUUUCAGAGGUGGGGAUGUAGCUUCCAUGUACACCCCAAAUGCCCAAUACUGCCAGAUGAGGUGCACAUUCCACCCAAGGUGUUUGCUAUUCAGUUUUCUUCCAGCAAGUUCAAUCAAUGACAUGGAGAAAAGGUUUGGUUGCUUCUUGAAAGAUAGUGUUACAGGAACCCUGCCAAAAGUACAUCGAACAGGUGCAGUUUCUGGACAUUCCUUGAAGCAAUGUGGUCAUCAAAUAAGUGCUUGCCAUCGAGACAUUUAUAAAGGAGUUGAUAUGAGAGGAGUCAAUUUUAAUGUAUCUAAGGUUAGCAGUGUUGAAGAAUGCCAAAAAAGGUGCACCAAUAACAUUCGCUGCCAGUUUUUUUCAUAUGCCACGCAAACAUUUCACAAUGCAGAGUACCGGAACAAUUGCCUAUUAAAGUACAGUCCCGGAGGAACACCUACCGCUAUAAAGGUGCUGAGUAAUGUGGAAUCUGGAUUCUCACUGAAGCCCUGUGCCCUUUCAGAAAUUGGUUGCCACAUGAACAUCUUCCAGCAUCUUGCGUUCUCAGAUGUGGAUGUUGCCAGGGUUCUCACUCCAGAUGCUUUUGUGUGUCGAACCAUCUGCACCUAUCACCCCAACUGCCUCUUCUUUACAUUCUAUACAAAUGUAUGGAAAAUCGAGUCACAAAGGCGAGAAAUGUUUGUCUUCUUAAAACAUCUGAAAGUGGCACACCAAGUUCCUCUACUCCUCAAGAAAACACCAUAUCUGGAUAUAGCCUUUUAACCUGCAAAAGAACUUUACCUGAACCCUGCCAUUCUAAAAUUUACCCGGGAGUUGACUUUGGAGGAGAAGAAUUGAAUGUGACUUUCGUUAAAGGAGUGGAUGUUUGCCAAGAGACUUGCACAAAGAUGAUUCGCUGUCAGUUUUUCACUUAUUCUUUACUCCCAGAAGACUGUAAGGAAGAGAAGUGUAAGUGUUUCUUAAGAUUAUCUAUGGAUGGUUCUCCAACUAGGAUUGUGUAUGGGACACAAGGGAGCUCUGGUUACUCUUUGAGAUUGUGUAACACUGGGGAUAACUCUGUCUGCACAACAAAAACAAGCACACGCAUUGUUGGAGGAACAAACUCUUCUUGGGGAGAGUGGCCCUGGCAGGUGAGCCUGCAGGUGAAGCUGACAGCUCAGAGGCACCUGUGUGGAGGGUCACUCAUAGGACACCAGUGGGUCCUCACUGCUGCCCACUGCUUUGAUGGGCUUCCCCUGCAGGAUGUUUGGCGCAUCUAUAGUGGCAUUUUAAAUCUGUCAGACAUUACAAAAGAUACACCUUUCUCACAAAUAAAAGAGAUUAUUAUUCACCAAAACUAUAAAGUCUCAGAAGGGAAUCAUGAUAUCGCCUUGAUAAAACUCCAGGCUCCUUUGAAUUACACUGAAUUCCAAAAACCAAUAUGCCUACCUUCCAAAGGUGACACAAACACAAUUUAUACCAACUGUUGGAUAACCGGAUGGGGCUUCUCGAAGGAGAAAGGUGAAAUCCAAAAUAUUCUACAAAAGGUAAAUAUUCCUUUGGUAACAAAUGAAGAAUGCCAGAAAAGAUAUCAAGAUUAUAAAAUAACCCAACGGAUGGUCUGUGCUGGCUAUAAAGAAGGGGGAAAAGAUGCUUGUAAGGGAGAUUCAGGUGGUCCCUUAGUUUGCAAACACAACGGAAUGUGGCGUUUGGUGGGCAUCACCAGCUGGGGUGAAGGCUGUGCCCGCAGGGAGCAACCUGGUGUCUACACCAAAGUCGCUGAGUACAUGGACUGGAUUUUAGAGAAAACGCAGAGCAGUGAUGGAAAAGCUCGGAUGCAGUCACCAGCAUGAGAAGCAGUCCAGAGUCUAGGCGAUUUUUACAGCCUGAGUUCAAGUCAAAUUCUGAGCCUGGGGGUCCUCACCUGCAGAG